rnacentral:rRNA from 1 species
ACGUAGGGUGCGAGCGUUAAUCGGAAUUACUGGGCGUAAAGCGUGCGCAGGCUGUUUUGUAAGUCAGAUGUGAAAUCCCCGAGCUCAACUUGGGAACUGCGUUUGAAACUACAAGACUAGAAUAUGUCAGAGGGGGGUAGAAUUCCACGUGUAGCAGUGAAAUGCGUAGAGAUGUGGAGGAAUAUCAAUGGCGAAGGCAGCCCCCUGGGAUAAUAUUGACGCUCAUGCACGAAAGCGUGGGGAGCAAACAGGAUUAGAUACCCUGGUAGUCCACGCCCUAAACGAUGUCAACUAGUUGUUGGUAGAGUAAAAUCUAUGAGUAACGCAGCUAACGCGUGAAGUUGACCGCCUGGGGAGUACGAUCGCAAGAUUA